rnacentral:misc_RNA from 1 species
UCCGAACCGCGGCGCCGGCCGCAGUCGAGGAGACUCCGCCCCCGCCGCCGGCAGCCGCGCGGGCCGCUCGCUCGCUCGCUCGUCCGUCCUGGGCCGGUCCCUUGAACGGCCAGCCAGUCGCGUUGGAGAGUGCGUGUGCGUUUGGAGAGGCCAAGACCGGUCCUGGAGGAGAGAGAGGGACUCAGGAAGACGACGGUGGACGCUCGGAUGUGAUCGGAGAGGGUGUCCAUGGUCAUUGAUCGGGAAUAGCCAGACGAGGAAGACGCCAGUGAGAGUGGAAUAGGAGUGGUAGAGAUCAUUGGACAUCAGGACUGGUGUAUUUGGAUGGACUGAGUGUUUGGGUGGACUGGCGAACGGAAGAGGAGCUACAGAACAAGAAGUGACGAGCCGAGUGAGGGGCUCGGCGCGUCAAGAUGCAGACACAAGAGGAGGUGAUUGGCCGGAUUGCCGAGCUGCAGACGGCAGUGACGGAGAUGAAGACGGCCUUCACGUCAGCGAUACGUCAGCUGACGUCAGCGCCGUCAGCGGCCGACCUGACGCUGAUCGAGCACGACGUCACUGCCAUCACCGCCGUCAGAGAUAUCAAGUCGGAGCUGGUUGCCAUGACAACGUCGCUGCAGCAGCUGGAGCAGGGCCAGCAGUCGACUCGGCGGCAGCUGCAGCAGCUGCUCGACGAACGAGACCUGCUGCUGGACGAGCUGUGCAAAACGGGCAGCGUCUCCAUGGAAACCAGGCAGCAGCUGCAUCAGCCGGGUCUUCAGUUUCCUUCGCGAACCUCGAGCGGUUGCCAUAGCAACGACUCGGGACUGGGUCAGACUGUGGACAAAUCGGUCUGGUCCGCACCGUCGGACCAGGAGACCGGCUCGCUGGGAGAUGGUCCCCUGGUCUCUACCAUGGUCCAGGAGUACGUCAACGGGCUCAGUGGAGGUGGCGACAGCUACGACUCCGAUUCGUCACUGUCCGUAGCCGUGACAAAGUCGUUCGCCCUGAGCACCUGUCUCUCGAAACAGUGCGGCCUGGAGCUGGAUGACGUCAGCGAAUCGGAAACGGCUCAGACUCUAAGCUCCGGCGACGCGGAGGAGUCGGAGCGGGUGAAGGUGGUCAGGGAACUGGCAGAGACGGAGCGUCGCUACUGCGGCACCCUGUGGACCAUACAGGACACGUUUGCCGAGCCGCUGGCGGCUGCACAGGUGGUCACCCAGGAUGAGCUCAGCACUCUGUUCCCUACCGAGUGUGCUCGACUGUACGAGAAGCACUGCCGUCUGCUACACUCACUGGAGGAGCGUCUGGACUCGUGGCCGUGGCAGAGUGGAGUCGGCGACCUUAUCUGCAGGUUUAUCGUUCACGGCGACUCGGAGGUCCUUCGCCUGUACACCUCGUACGUCAACGGCUUCCCCCAGCUGCUCAGCACGUUCUACCGGCUCUGCAGGACGUCGGCAGACUUCCUGCAAUUCCUCAAGGCUCGCCAGCACCACCCGGGCUGCGCGGGACUCGACCUCUCCGCCCUACUGCUCUCCCCCGUGCAGCGGGUGCCUCGCUACGUGCUACUACUACAACAGCUGCUACGUCGCACCCCGGCUCAGCACAGCGACCACGCGCCUCUGCAGAGGGCGCUACUGCAGCUGAGACAGUUCCUGGCCAGGCUGAACGACUCGAUGGAGCAGAGCUUUCAGAUGGUGCACCGCGGAGCCGGCCAGUGGGAUAGGGUACCGAAGUCCGCUUCAGUCGCCACUCUCUCUGUCGGUGACCCCGAGACCUCGUGGAGCCCGUCUCGCCGGUCCGCCGAGCCUGCCAUCUCGCGGCGGCGCGCCAAACUAGGGUCGGGCAGCGGUCUGACUCGUCCGAUCACCACCAUCUGCCGGGCAGCCUCCUCCAGCGGUAGUGACACGUUGGAGCGGGCAGAUAGGGGCGCCACCUGCACCAGGAAGGCGCGCAGGACGGCCUCAGAGUACAAGCCGUUCGACUGCAAGUCCCUGCCUCACAUGAAGCAGCGCCGGCGCGCUCAGCUGUCCAGUCAGCUGACUGCGGCCCGCUCAGAGACGAACCUGCGCGAGCGUCCGCUCUCGGUGUUCGACCCUCCCGCUGCACGGUCCGCUGCCAACCUGGCAGAGCCAUCUACCGGCGGCGCGAGGAGGCUCGAGUUUGAGGACAUCCCGCUGGAUACUCCAACCGACCGAGAUGAGCCGAGCUCACGGAAAUUGGGCAGCGAGGAGCCGAAAACGCCAACGAAGAAGUCAUCGAAGACUGACAGUCAGACGCUGCCCCGCGGCCGGAGGAUGGUUGUCAGCCGACUGGAGAGGGCCGUCACCCCCGAAACUCCGCGGCCGCCCAGCGCCGAGCGGGCGCGGAAGGUGUCACUCAGGUCGCUCAAGAACAUGUUCAGUCUCAAGAAAAGGAGCUCCCGUUCGGGAACUCUGGACAUCAGUGCCAGCUCCAAGGACCUGGCAGAUGCUACCAGCUCCGACCAGUACACGCCCUUACCUGAGCCCAGCCCAGAGGGCGCCACUGAGAGCGCUCGCAGCGCCGCCUAGGGCAGCUGCCGCAAACGCUGACCUUUGGGUGGGUGCAGCUCGCAGGGAGGCUGCUGUUUCUUGCCAGGCCUGGCGAAUCGUUCGAAAGAGAACAUCUCUGGCCCGAGGAACCUGAGACACUGUCUAAGAGGUGUAGACUGCAGCCGUUUCUGACUGCCGUAGUAUGCACCCAAACGCCCAUUAAACAGGGCGUUCUGGGGCCUAUUUAUAGACUGCACUGUGUUUUGUAGCUCAUUCAGCUAGUGGACAGAUUAUUAAACAUCUCAGUGCACUUGUGUUCAGUCUCCCGUCGCAGCUCGAUCUCUGCAAUGCAAGGAUCGGGAAGUGAAGAUGACUGUGUCGGUUUGCCAGGGAUUGAUUGUUGCCGGGGCGGGGGCGAGCUGCUGAGUUUAAGAAUUUCAAAUAAGAACGUGUGAAAAGUGCAAGGUAUAUGCGGGAGUAUGUUUUAUGCGAAUUUUAUCGUAUUGUUGCGCUUGAUUUGGUUGAAUUUUAUGAUGCAGUUUAGCGAGAUGUCAGACUGUAUUCAAGCGUUUGACUGUCGUGAGCAUGUAUUGCGCAUCGCUUGUGUUUUAUGCGCGCAGGUGUUAAUUGAUGGAUUGAAUGUUUGAGCAAUACGCGAAAUACAUUAUUCGAUUUUUAAC